rnacentral:tRNA from 1 species
GCGGGUAUAGUUCAUCGGUAGAAUGCCAGCUUCCCAAGUUGGACAGAGGAGUUCGACUCUCCUUACCCGCU